rnacentral:rRNA from 1 species
AUGCCUGUUUUGGGUCCGAUAAGCCUGCGAGUCGAGAGGGUUCGGCCCUCGGCGAACUGCUCAGUAACACGUGGAUAAUCUAACCUUAGGUGGAGCAUAACCUCGGGAAACUGAGAAUAAUACUCCAUAGAUCUUUGAGGCUGGAAUGCGCUUAGAUUGAAAGCUUCGGCGCCUAAGGAUGAGUCUGCGGACUAUCAGGUAGUAGUCAGGGUAAAGACCUGACUAGCCUACGACGGAUACGGGUUGUGAGAGCAAUAACCCGGAGAUGAUAUCUGAGACACGAUAUCAGGCCCUACGGGGCGCAGCAGGCGCGAAAACUUCGCAAUGUGCGAAAGCACGACGAGGGAAUCCCAAGUGCUGGCUCUUUUGAGUCAGCUGUUUUUAUGUCUAAAAAGCAUAGAGAGUAAGAGCUGGGUAAGACGGGUGCCAGCCGCCGCGGUAAUACCUGCAGCUCAAGUGGUGGCCGCUAUUAUUGGGCCUAAAACGUCCGUAGCCGGUUUAUUAAAUGCCUAGGUAAAUUGUGUGGCUUAACCAUACGAAUUCUGGGUAGACUGGUAAACUUGAGACCGGGAGAAGCUAGAGGUACUCCUGGGGUAGAGGUGAAAUUCUGUAAUCCUAGGGGGACGACCAGUGGCGAAGGCGUCUAGCUAGAACGGGUCUGACGGUGAGGGACGAAGCCCUGGGGCGCAAACGGGAUUAGAUACCCCGGUAGUCCAGGGUGUAAACGCUGCUUGCUUGAUGUUAGUCUGGCUCCGAGCCAGAUUAGUGUCGGAGAGAAGUUGUUAAGCAAGCUGCCUGGGAAGUACGGCCGCAAGACUGAAACUUAAGG